rnacentral:rRNA from 1 species
CACCGCGGUUAUACGAAAGACCCUAGUUAAUAGCCACGGCGUAAGGGUGGUUAAGGAACAUAACAAAUAAAGCUAAAGACCCUCUAAGCCGUCAUACGCACUCCGAGGAUACGAAACCCAAACACGAAAGUAGCUUUAAUCCCCCCCGACCCCACAAAAGCUAAGAAACAAACUGGGAUUAGAUACCCCACUAUGCUUAGCCAUAAACCCAGAUGUACCUUUACAAAUACAUUCGCCAGGGUACUACGAGCACAGCUUAAAACCCAAAGGACUUGGCGGUGUCUCAGACCCACCUAGAGGAGCCUGUUCUAGAACCGAUAACCCCCGUUAAACCUCACCACUUCUUGUUUUCCCCGCCUAUAUACCGCCGUCGUCAGCUUACCCUGUGAAGGCCCAGCAGUAAGCAAAAUGGAUAUAUCCAAAAACGUCAGGUCGAGGUGUAGCGUACGAAGUGGGAAGAAAUGGGCUACAUUUUCUAAACACAGAAUAUUUACGAACGGCACCUUGAAAACAAGUGCCCGAAGGUGGAUUUAGUAGUAAAAAGCAAAUAGAGAGUCCUUUUGAAUUAGGCUCUGAGACGCGCACACACCGCCCGUCACUCUCCCCUCAAUAAAAACUUAUACAUAUAUAAUAACUCACUACAAACACGGGGAGGCAAGUCGUAACAUGGUAAGUGUACCGGAAGGUGCCCUUGGAAUAAUCAGAGCGUGGCUGAG